AACAAGAAACCUGUUUGAAAUAGCAUAAAGAGCUUUCACUGUAUACUAUUUCCAACAACUUCAACAAAUCAGCUCUUGAUCUUAUUUUCCCACCAUUGUUAAUCUUAUGAUAAGCAAAUAUCAAUUUCAAAUGAGAAAAAUAAUCUUACUUUCUUGAGGUCUCAGCCUCUAAUCUACCACAGCACUACUUGGGAGUAGAUGGUUAUGGCACUGAGAGUAAUAGCUACAACCCCUAUACUGCCAAGCUACAAACAAUGAAUACUGAAAAAUAAAUCUAAUGACAGCAACUUGGGAGCUAGAAAUUGUACAAGUUUCUGAAUAAUUUUCAUGGUAUUUGAUUUUCUUUUUCUUCCCAAAUAUCAAUUUCAAAUGAGAAAAAUAAUCUUACUUUCUUGAGGUCUCAGCCUCUAAUCUACCACAGCACUACUUGGGAGUAGAUGGUUAUGGCACUGAGAGUGAUAGCUACAACCCCUAUACUGCCAAGCUACAAACAAUGAAUACUGAAAAAUAAAUCUAAUGACAGCAACUUGGGAGCUAGAAAUUGUACAAGUUUCUGAAUAAUUUUCAUGGUAUUUGAUUUUCUUUUUCUUCCCAAAUAUCAAUUUCAAAUGAGAAAAAUAAUCUUACUUUCUUGAGGUCUCAGCCUCUAAUCUACCACAGCACUACUUGGGAGUAAGAUGGUUAUGGCACUGAGAGUGAUAACUACAACCCCUAUACUGCCAAGCUACAAACAAUGAAUACUAAAAAUUAAAUCUAAUGACAGCAACUUGGGAGCUAGAAAAUAAGAUAGCUCCUUAAUGGGAGCUAGAAAUUGUACAAGUUUCUGAAUAAUUUUCAUGGUAUUUGAUUUUCUUUUUCUUCCUACUUUCUACAGUAAACCAAACAAGAAAUUUUGGAUUCCUUCUUACUUAUCCCUUUUUUUUUUUCCUUGUUCUUUUUUCACUUCCCCAG
rnacentral:lncRNA from 1 species